UACACACCGCCCGUCACACCACGAAAGCUGCGUGUACCAGAAGUCGCUAAGCUAACCCUUUCGAGGGAGGUAGGCGCCUAAGGUAUGCGCGGUAAUUGGGGUGAAGUCGUAACAAGGUACCC
rnacentral:rRNA from 1 species